GCCGAGAUCACCGCAGAGGGCUGAAUGGUGGAAUAACGCCCCUGAACUCCAUCUCGCCUUUGAAGAAAAAUUUUGCAAGCAAUCAUAUUCAGCUCCAGAAGUAUGCUCGCCCCAGCUCUGCCUUUGCACCUAAAUCCUGGAUGGAAGAUAGCUUGAACAGGGCUGACAACAUUUUUCCUUUUCCGGAUCGCCCCAGGACAUUCGACAUGCACUCACUGGAGAGUUCACUCAUUGACAUAAUGAGAGCUGAAAAUGAUACCAUUAAAGACAUUUACCAGGAAAUGAAGAAUAUAGUCACAGUUUUUCCAUUUUCAAAAGCUGGUAGAUGAAAUCACAGUUGAUUCUUUUGACAAUGUUUGAAAGGUUGUUUUGUUUUUUUGUUUUUGUUUUUUUCUCAUUUGACAUGCAGCAAGGACAUAUGGGCGAAGGAGAGGUCAGUCUUCACUGUUUCCAAUGGAAGAUGGAUUCUUGGAUGAUGGCCGUGGGGAUCAGCCUCUUCAUAGUGGCCUGGGUUCACCUCACUGCUUCAGUCACCAGAAUGGGGAAAGAGUGGAACGAU
rnacentral:lncRNA from 1 species